rnacentral:rRNA from 1 species
UACGAAGGGGGCUAGCGUUCUUCGGAAUUACUGGGCGUAAAGCGCACGUAGGCGGAUAUUUAAGUCAGGGGUGAAAUCCCAGAGCUCAACUCUGGAACUGCCUUUGAUACUGGGUAUCUGGAGUAUGGAAGAGGUGAGUGGAAUUCCGAGUGUAGAGGUGAAAUUCGUAGAUAUUCGGAGGAACACCAGUGGCGAAGGCGGCUCACUGGUCCAUUACUGACGCUGAGGUGCGAAAGCGUGGGGAGCAAACAGG